CCUACGGGUGGCAGCAGUGAGGAAUAUUGGUCAAUGGGCGCGAGCCUGAACCAGCCAAGUAGCGUGAAGGAUGACUGCCCUACGGGUUGUAAACUUCUUUUAUAAAGGAAUAAAGUGAGGCACGUGUGCCUUUUUGUAUGUAUUUUAUGAAUAAGGAUCGGCUAACUCCGUGCCAGCAGCCGCGGUAAUACGGAGGAUCCGAGCGUUAUCCGGAUUCAAUGGGUGUAAAGGGUGCGUCGACGGCCGUGCAAGCCAGGGGUGAAAGCGCGGGGCCCAACCCCGGGACUGCCGUUGAAACUGCAUGGCUUGAGUGCGGGAGAGGUAGGCGGAAUUCCUGGUGUAGCGGUGAAAUGCGUAGAUAUCAGGAGGAACACCGGCGGCGAAGGCGGCAUGCUGGCCCGCGACUGACGUUGAGGCACGAAAGCGUGGGGAGCGAACAGGAUUAGAUACCCGAGUAGUC
rnacentral:rRNA from 1 species